rnacentral:rRNA from 1 species
CCUACGGGUGGCAGCAGUGGGGAAUAUUGCACAAUGGGCGGAAGCCUGAUGCAGCAACGCCGCGUGAGCGAAGAAGCGUUUCGGCGCGUAAAGCCCUGUCGUCAGGGAAGAAGAUGACGGCACCUGACUAAGAAGCCCCGGCGAACUACGUGCCAGCAGCCGCGGUAAUACGUAGGGGGCAAGCGUGAUCCGGAUGUACUGGGUGUAAAGGGGGCGCAGACGGAUAUGCAAGCCAGAAGUGAAAGCCCGGGGCCCAACCCCGGGACGGCUGUUGGAACUGUAUGGCUGGAGUGCAGGAGGGGAAGGUGGAAGUCCUAGUGUAGCGGUGAAAUGCGUAGAUAUUAGGAGGAACACCGGUGGCGAAGGCGGCUGGCUGGACUGUGACUGACGCUGAGGCCCGAAGGCGUGGGGAGCAAACAGGAUUAGAUACCCCUGUAGUC